GCAUGGUCUUAGCUUGCUAAGGCCGAUGGCGACCGGCGCACGGGUGAGUAACACGUAUCCAACCUGCCGUCUACUCUUGGACAGCCUUCUGAAAGGAAGAUUAAUACAAGAUGGCAUCAUGAGUCCGCAUGUUCACAUGAUUAAAGGUAUUCCGGUAGACGAUGGGGAUGCGUUCCAUUAGAUAGUAGGCGGGGUAACGGCCCACCUAGUCUUCGAUGGAUAGGGGUUCUGAGAGGAAGGUCCCCCACAUUGGAACUGAGACACGGUCCAAACUCCUACGGGAGGCAGCAGUGAGGAAUAUUGGUCAAUGGGCGAGAGCCUGAACCAGCCAAGUAGCGUGAAGGAUGACUGCCCUAUGGGUUGUAAACUUCUUUUAUAAAGGAAUAAAGUCGGGUAUGGAUACCCGUUUGCAUGUACUUUAUGAAUAAGGAUCGGCUAACUCCGUGCCAGCAGCCGCGGUAAUACGGAGGAUCCGAGCGUUAUCCGGAUUUAUUGGGUUUAAAGGGAGCGUAGAUGGAUGUUUAAGUCAGUUGUGAAAGUUUGCGGCUCAACCGUAAAAUUGCAGUUGAUACUGGAUAUCUUGAGUGCAGUUGAGGCAGGCGGAAUUCGUGGUGUAGCGGUGAAUGCUUAGAUAUCACGAAGAACUCCGAUUGCGAAGGCAGCCUGCUAA
rnacentral:rRNA from 1 species